AUCAGCCAAAAACAAAAUCAGUUUUGUUGAUGGCACAUACUCCCGACCUACCACCAAUGUGGCUCAACAGAGGUUGUGGGAUAGGUGCAACAACAUGGUGAUUUCUUGGUUGACUGCUUCCCUUUCCCCUGCAAUUUCUGAAUCUGUGCAGUACUCUGACACUGCACAGAGCAUAUGGUCCCAACUCCAGGCCAGAUAUGGCACUGCAAAUAGGACCAAAAUAUUUGAAUUGAAAAGAGAGUUGUCCCACACCUCUCAAGGGUCCUUAGAUAUUGCUUCUUAUUUCAACAAGCUAAAAAGUCUGUGGGAUGAACUUGAUACUAUGUGUGUCAAUCAUGGUUUAAGGUGUGUAUGUGCUGCAAAAGAUGGUAUAGUUCAGGAAUGUGAUGAUAAUAAGGUCUUUCACUUUUUGAUGGGUCUGAAUGAAGCUAAUAUAGGGGUCAGGAGUAAUCUUUUGAUGAUGCAGCCUCCUUCUUCUCUUGACAAUGUUUAUAAUAUGGUCCUCAAUGAUGAGAAGCAAAGACAAAUUCAGUCUUCCUCUCACUUUGAUCCAGCCUAUGUCCUCAAUGUACAUACAAACAGGUAGCCUGUUGUAUUUAAAAAGGCCACAGUGUCUGUUCCUCCUCCUCCUUUUAGACAGAGAGUCAAUUUUGACCAACAGAGAGUCAAUUUUGACCAAGCCAGGGGACCUUUAUUUCCUCCUCCUUCUUUCAGACAGAGAGUCAAUUUUGACCAAGCCAUGGGACCUUUAUUUUGUAGAUACUGUAAAAAAUCUGGACACUUAAUUAAUAAGUGCUUCAAGAUCCAUGGGUAUCCACAAAGUGCCACCUUUAACAAGGGAAGGCCUGCUGCUGCUCAUCUGAGUACUGGUCUGGAUUCUUCUAUUUCUGAUGGUUUGUUAUCUGUUCCUCAAGGGAAUCCUCCUGCUGGCCAUCACUCUGUUGCAAGACUGGAUGGCC
rnacentral:lncRNA from 1 species